AUACUUUCAGUGAAAGGAGACGUUUUCGUCAACGACAACAUGUGGUUGAAUGGUUAGAGGCAGUGUGGUAUCUCCGGCCCAUUAGGUUCAAGUCCUGGUGCUUGUAUUAUUCCUAAACGGUGAUAUACUUUUAUUGGGAGGAGAUAUUUCCGUCAAUGACGAGGCAUCUAUGGUGGCUUCGUAAAUGUCAAGAUGAUAUGCCGGCUUAGUCUUUUAAAGAUGCUCACAGAGAUAGGGUGUACGUGUAUGCGUUUAUAGAGAUGAGUAUAUGCGUGUGUAUAUGGUUACUUACAUCUGUACUAUCUUAAAAAAAUAUAGUUCAUUAUUGGCUCUUACAACUGUCAUGACUUCUAAAGUCAUUAUAUAUAGUUAUUCAUAUGAUAAAGUUGAC
rnacentral:lncRNA from 1 species